rnacentral:rRNA from 1 species
GGGGAUAACGUUUGGAAACGAACGCUAAUACCGCAUAAGACCACACUUCCACAUGGGAGAGGGGUCAAAGGAGCAAUCCGCUGAAAGAUGGGCUCGCGUCCGAUUAGAUAGUUGGGGGGGUAACGGCCCACCAAGUCGACGAUCGGUAGCCGGACUGAGAGGUUGAACGGCCACAUAGGGACUGGGACACGGCCCAGACUCCUACGGGAGGCAGCAGUGAGGGAUAUUGGUCAAUGGGGGAUACCCUGAACCAGCAACGCCGCGUGAGGGAAGACGGUUUUCGGAUUGUAAACCUCUGUCCUCUGUGAAGAUAAUGACGGUAGCAGAGGAGGAAGCUCCGGCUAACUACGUGCCAGCAGCCGCGGUAAUACGUAGGGAGCGAGCGUUGUCCGGAUUUACUGGGUGUAAAGGGUGCGUAGGCGGGUAAGCAAGUCAGAAGUGAAAUCCAUGGGCUUAACCCAUGAACUGCUUUUGAAACUGUUUAUCUUGAGUGAAGUAGAGGUAGGCGGAAUUCCCGGUGUAGCGGUGAAAUGCGUAGAGAUCGGGAGGAACACCAGUGGCGAAGGCGGCCUACUGGGCUUUAACUGACGCUGAAGCACGAAAGCGUGGGUAGCAAACAGGAUUAGAUACCCU